GAUGAACGCUAGCGACAGGCUUAACACAUGCAAGUCGAGGGGCAGCACAGGGUAGCAAUACUUGGGUGGCGACCGGCGCACGGGUGAGUAACGCGUAUGCAACUUACCUAUCAGAGGGGGAUACGCCCGGCGAAAGUCGGAUUAAUACCCCAUGAAACAGGGGUCCCGCAUGGGAAUAUUUGUUAAAGAUUCAUCGCUGAUAGAUAGGCAUGCGUUCCAUUAGGCAGUUGGCGGGGUAACGGCCCACCAAACCGACGAUGGAUAGGGGUUCUGAGAGGAAGGUCCCCCACAUUGGAACUGAGACACGGUCCAAACUCCUACGGGAGGCAGCAGUGAGGAAUAUUGGUCAAUGGGCGAGAGCCUGAACCAGCCAAGUAGCGUGAAGGAUGAAGGUCCUACGGAUUGUAAACUUCUUUUAUACGGGAAUAAAGUUUCCUACGUGUAGGAUUUUGUAUGUACCGUAUGAAUAAGCAUCGGCUAACUCCGUG
rnacentral:rRNA from 1 species